rnacentral:rRNA from 1 species
UGGGGGAUAUUGCACAAUGGGCGAAAGCCUGAUGCAGCGACGCCGCGUGGGGGAUGAAGGCCUUCGGGUUGUAAACUUCUUUUGCUCUGAACAAGGCGCACCAUGGGGUGUGUUGAGUGUAGGGGUUGAUUAGCGCCGGCUAACUACGUGCCAGCAGCCGCGGUAAUACGUAGGGCGCGAGCGUUGUCCGGAAUUAUUGGGCGUAAAGGGCUUGUAGGUGGCUGGUUGCGUCUGUCGUGAAAGAUCAUGGCUUAACUGUGGGUUUGCGGUGGGUACGGGCUGGCUUGAGUGCAGUAGGGGAGGCUGGAAUUCCUGGUGUAGCGGUGGAAUGCGCAGAUAUCAGGAGGAAUACCGGUGGCGAAGGCGGGUCUCUGGGCUGUUACUGACACUGAGGAGCGAGAGCAUGGGGAGCGAACAGG